GGGGAUGUAGCUCAGCAGUAGAGUGCUUGUUAGCAUACACAAAGCCCUGGGUUCAACUCCCAGCAUGGCCA
rnacentral:tRNA from 1 species